UACGCAACCGGAAAGACUCCGUGGAGGGCCGCGACAUUUAGGGAGCGUCUGCAAAGACCAGGAAAGGAAGCCAGGGGUCGUCUAACAAGACCGCCGCGGGCCGCAGCCAAUUCCAGUCCGCUACGACUUAACGCCCCCCCUUGGGUUAAGAAAUUUCUCCAGCCCACCCAUCAAUCACCGGUCUCAGCUGUCCAAUCAGCGGACCAAGGGGGCGGAACAUCGAGGAGCGUCGAGUGACGUCAUCAGGCCUGGCAGUCAGAGGCGUGACGGACGAGGCUCGCGACUUAGGAGCUGUUAGCCGGCGCGGCAGCGGUAGGCAGUGUAAACAGGGCCUCGCCCCUGCGGGUCCUGCGACGGCUCCUGGCUGACAGGAGAAGUCCCUGCACAGGAUAUAAGGAUGCUGUAACCAGAACAUGGGAUCACGGAACAGCAGCAGCGCAGGAUCCGGGUCCUUAGAACCCUCCGAGGGCUUGUCCCGAAGAGGGGCUGGCCUGCGUCGUAGUGAGGAAGAAGAAGAAGAGGAUGAAGAUGUGGAUCUGGCCCAGGUACUGGCCUAUCUCCUCCGCAGAGGCCAAGUGAGGUUGGUGCAAGGUGGAGGUGCAGCAAAUUUACAACUCAUCCAGGCCCUCUCAGACUCAGAGGAAGAGCAUGACAGUGCCUGGGACGGUCGCCUUGGAGAUCGAUACAACCCACCUGUGGAUGCAACCCCUGACACCCGGGAGCUGGAGUACAAUGAGAUCAAAACUCGGGUGGAAUUGGCCACGGGGC
rnacentral:lncRNA from 1 species